UUGCCUACGGGAGGCAGCAGUGAGGAAUAUUGGUCAAUGGACGAGAGUCUGAACCAGCCAAGUAGCGUGAAGGAUGACUGCCCUAUGGGUUGUAAACUUCUUUUAUAUGGGAAUAAAAUGUUCCACGUGUGGGAUUUUGUAUGUACCAUAUGAAUAAGGAUCGGCUAACUCCGUGCCAGCAGCCGCGGUAAUACGGAGGAUGCGAGCGUUAUCCGGAUUUAUUGGGUUUAAAGGGUGCGUAGGCGGGCUGUUAAGUCAGCGGUAAAAGCCCGGGGCUCAACCCCGGCGAGCCGUUGAAACUGGCU
rnacentral:rRNA from 1 species